rnacentral:lncRNA from 1 species
GAGAGAAAACGGGAGAGAAAAGGCUUGAAACUGAGGAGCUGAACUCCAAGUAAAUCUUCCCACGUGCCUGGCCUGGACACAGAUCCAGGGAUGAAAGAGCCCUAAGGCAGUGUAGUAUGAUGUCCUGCCCAUGUGGCCAUUCCUUGUCCUGCGUGGAGAUGGCCAGGGACUGACUUACAAUGGCGACUGAGGGAUUAUUCUGAGAUCUAAGGUCCCUGAUUCCCUGGUCUGCAGACUGCUGGUGCCAAUGGAGGAAAUUUUUCUCUUCUCUUUGUGACUCAUGCCUGCCUCAAUACCAGGACCAGCGUACAGUGGUGACUCCUGCACCAAAGUCAGAGACAGAAGAACAUCCACCCAUCAAAUGUUAAUCCAGACCCACUGUGGUCUGGGACACGUUCCAUGCGGUGAAUUCAGCAGGAACAAGACACAGCCUUCUUGAAGUGAGUUGUUCAUCGUGCUGGUUUGGCUGUGCAGGAAAACUGGGUUUGCAGACCCAGCAGACAGUCCCUGUCACCUUCCACCUGAGCACUGUCUUCUAUAUUCACCGAAAAGACUGGUGCCUGUGAUUCCCAGGUCCUGCUCAGCUGGGAUUGACCAUGUGACUCAGGCCUGAUCAGUGGGGUGUGAGAUCAGUGGGUGAAAUUCUUCUUAGGAAAGCUUUGCUCUUGUGAAAGAGCACUAGAUUCAUGAGGCCCUUUUCUCCUUGAAUAUGGGAGUGAUAGCUGGAGCUGCAGCAGCCACCCUGAGGUCACACAUCAGCAGGGAUGAAAAUAAAGCCAAUAUCAUAGGGAUGGUGGGACAAAAAGUGAGAAAGACCCUGGUGUCUUCGUGAAAGUGGUGGGUAUUAUUGCAGCGAGAAAUACACCCUUAGCUGUUUGUGUCUGUUUUUUAUGUGUGAUUCUGUGGUAAAAAAGCAUCCAUGACCAAUUAAGUAAAUAUUUAACACCAAUCAAUUAAUAAAAUUAACAAUAGGCAAAGA